rnacentral:lncRNA from 1 species
CACCACAGCCUGGGCACCCGCAGCCUUCUCAUCCCAUGGGGUAGGUGCCACCCGUGGGGGAUGGGGUGCAGGCUGCAGAUAGCAGCCCCGAGCCCUGUGAGGGUGGCAGCUCCUGACUGGCGCUGUGACCCUCACACAGUUGCCCUCUUCUCUCCCUGUCCCAGAAAACCACAGUGCAGCUCCAACCAUAAGUAUCACCAUUGCACUGCUGGUUCUUGUGGCCAUAGCCUUUGCUGGGGGUUUUUGGUGGUGGAAGCGCAGGAAAGGUAACGAGGCUACAUGGGAGACCCAGGAAUUCAUCAUUUGAGGCCUUGCUGCCCACACAGCAACAGCUGCUUGCUCUCCGUUCUUACUUUGUGCCCCACCCCUGACCCAUCAGCACCAACACGAUUUUGUUCUGGAAAACAACUGCAUUAAACAGCUAUGAACUUCUUCUGAUACAUAUGGUUCCUGUGUCUCUCACCCUUCUUCCCUCCUCAGGAGCUCUUCUCAGGAAACUCCUCUGUGCACUACAGAUACUCCCUAUUGCAGGCAGAUGCUCUUCCUUUUCCUGGACUGUGGUUUGUCUCCAUCUGGCAUGUCAGGAGAAGCCAGUCCUCUGACAGCCCCUUCCACAUCUCCCCAUGGCCAGUGUCUAUUCCUGACAGGGCAGUCACAACCCAAGGCCAGACCACUGUGCGGUUCCUGAGUGAGAUGUGUGAUGGUGCAGGCCACAAAUCAGGGAUAGGUGGAGAGAUGUGAGCUCUUCACUGGCGAGACAAGGGAAGGGAGGAACUAAGUAACACCCCUGACAUCCCUGACACAUUUUGAGCACACUGAGCUGCUUCAUUUCCAGGGCUGACCUCACCCUUUAGAUCAGGAUCUCUUCCACUUCUGACUCCUGCCCCCAUGCUUCCUUCCUGUCGCUGUAAAAGCUGGAAAGAUGAGGGAUUGUCACCCUUCCACUAUGCCUGAGAGCUUUGAAAGAGCCAUGCAGAGGCUCUGGGAGACUCUGAGCAACACACCCCACAGCAGAAUGUGAUUGUCAUCAGUUCAUUUUGCAUUGUCCAUUGGUCCUUCCUCCUCACCCUGCUCCAGUGUGAAGUCCCACUUACAGGAGACAGU